rnacentral:lncRNA from 1 species
UGGUGGCGAUCCUGACCCUCUACAGGCCUUGGCCAAUGUGUGCAUCUGUGUCUUAGUGGUUUUUUUUUGUUUUUUUUUCUGAGACAGAGUCUUGCUUUGUCACCCAGGCUGGAGUGCAAUGAUGCAAUCUCAGCUGACUGCAACCUCUGUCUCUUGGGUUCAAGCAAUUCUCCUGCCUCAGCCUCCUGAGUAACUGUGAUUACAGGUGCCUGACACCACGCCUGGUUAAUUUUUGUAUUUUUGGUAGAGAUGGGGUUUCACCGUGUUGGCCAGGCUGGUCUCAAACUCCAGAUCUCAAGUGAUCUGCCAGCCUCAGCCUCCCAAAGUGCUGGGAUUACAGCAUGAGCCACCGUGCCUGGCCUGUGUCUUAGUUUCUAACUGCAAAGUUUAAAAUGUUAAAGAAGAUGAAUUUGAAAACAGAAAAAGUCUUAUCGAGUAAGGUUACAAAGAAACUUUUUUACAGCUGGACAAUGUGUGUUUUAAGCUGAGUCAUUACAAAAGAGUCAAAAAGCUAAACGUAUAGCCACUCAUAAAGUAAAACGUUACAGGAAGCUCAUUUUCUUUUUUUUUUUUUUGAGACAGAGUUUCGCUCUUGUUACUUAGGCUGGAGUGCAAUGGCGUGAAUUCGGCUCACGGCAACCUCCGCCUCCUGGGUUCGGGCAAUUCUCCUGCCUCAGCCUCCUGAGUAGCUGGGAUUACAGGCACGUGCCACUAUGCCCAGCUAAUUUUUUGUAUUUUUAGUAGAGACAGGGUUUCACCAUGUUGACCAGGAUGGUCUCUAUCUCUUGACCUCGUGAUCCACCUGCCUCGGCCUCCCAAAGUGCUGGGAUUACAGGCUCGAGCCACUGUGCCCGGUCUCAUUUUAUUCCUGAAUUCAGUGCAGCCUAAGUGUAUGGUGUCUCAGAGACUAUAGUUAUGUACGUAAUGUCCGAGGUCUUCAUAUCUCCUCACCCCUCACGGCUUAAUCAGAGAGCUGCCUGGCCUGCAAGCUCAAUUCAUGAGAAAGAAACUAAGGCUCAGGGAUGCUCCAUAAGUGGCCCAAGCCAUGGCUGAGAGAGGGUGGGCCAGACGUUUAUAAAGGAGGAUGAUGAAACCCAGCCCGGCCCCUGUGACGCUCUUGGUUUUGAUCCAUGGCAUUAAAGC